CCUCAAAUGGAGGUGCUGGUGAGCGAGGGCAGGGGACACACGAGCAAUAUCAUUCGCUAAAUCAGUGGAGCCCAGCAAACAUUUGUUAAUCACCUGCUGAGUUCAAGGAGUUAAAGUGCAAAGGGCCAGAUCUGAGAAAACCAGGAUGCUAAAAGCUUUUCAAUUCAGCAAGAAUUAACUGAGUGCCAAUUUAGCAUUAAAUAGAAAUGAGAAUAUUCAACCCAGCCCUCAACAAGUCUGGAAUCCCACUGGGAAGAUCAGCACAUUCUUGAAGACAGGACCAAUGAGUACCUGGUUGUGUACUUUACUUCCUCAUAUCAUAUACAAGGAAAUGUUUUUUCUCCUAAGCCAACAAUGACCUACAGCAAUUUGUUAAAUUAUACCUUUGUAAGCAGAAUCGAAAUAUUUCUCUUUUUCUCCUUACCUAAUCCCUCCAGAAUUUGGAAACUCUUAGUAAGUAUUCUUAUUUUCAUGACAAUAAACUUAUUUAGAUAAGUUCACUAAGAAUCUGUUCUUGUAACAGGACGCAAUUGGAAACACUGGUUAUACUAUCAAGGCUUUGACUGGAAUGUCAUGUUUGAGAGAAACAUACAUAGACUCAGAUAUAACCAGACAGCUUUAAGGAACUAAGACUGACUUUAUGGAAGCCAAUAAAGUCCCCUUGGAAAAGUUGGCCUUGGGAAAAAAAUUUUUUUUGCUUACAGGGUUCCCAGCAGCUUUACCAGGUGAGUAAUGAAGGUCACUUUUUGGCAGGUGCAGAAACCUCAGGAUAUUUGGGGGACCUCAAGAAGAGAGGAAUUAACCCAAAUCUAAAGGCAUAGUUUGGUGGUAAACAUUGGCUUGGUUUCUUAGCCUCAAGAGGUGGUUAAAAGUUCAAUCUGGAGAUGCCUCAUGAAAAGUUCCACCAAAGCAGAUUUAAAAGAGGCUAUAUGAUCAAUUGCUAUUCUUGCUGCAUUUGUGUAAACAAUCAGGCCAAGCUUAUUAAAACUAGACUUAUUUUCAAGUAAGUUAGUCUUAACUUGGCUAUCUUUGAUAAAAAAUUGGGGUGAUUUUAGUUAGAAAAAAUAAUUUCAGUAGAAAUGAUAAUACGCACUUGUGGAUAUUAGAUUCUAGUUCUGUUCAUUGUCUUUGAGGUUAUGUUUUUCACCUGUAAACUGGACUGAAUCCUGAAUUCUUCUAGUUUCCUCAAAUAUUUGGCUACAACUCUCCAAACUAAUGUUUCUAAUUUUUCUCUCACUUUUGACUCAG
rnacentral:lncRNA from 1 species